rnacentral:rRNA from 1 species
UAUUGCACAAUGGGGGAAACCCUGAUGCAGCGACGCCGCGUGAGUGAGGAGGUAGUUCGGUAUGUAAAGCUCUAUCAGCAGGGAAGAAAAUGACGGUACCUGACUAAGAAGCCCCGGCUAAUUACGUGCCAGCAGACGCGGUAAUACGUAGGGGGCAAGCGUUAUCCGGAUUUACUGGGUGUAAAGGGAGCGUAGACGGAAUUGCAAGUCUGAUGUGAAAAUCCGGGGCCCAACCCCGGAACUGCAUUGGAAACUGUAUUUCUAGAGUGUCGGAGAGGCAAGUGGAAUUCCUGGUGUAGCGGUGAAAUGCGUAGAUAUACGGAGGAACACCAGUGGCGAAGGCGGAUUGCUGGACAGUAACUGACGCGGAGGCGCGAAAGCGUGGGGAGCAA